GCCACCCAGCCCAAAGUGUCCAUGGCACCAAGAUGGAGAAGGCCAGAUACUUAUUAUUACUCUUACCAUUAUCUUUAUAGUAGCAAUUCAUUUUAUUUUGUGCUGCAUUAUUAAAAAUGCCCACUUUUUGGAGAGAGGCUUCCUGAUAGACAUUGCCCAGAAAGCCAGUAUCAGAGUUAACUUCUAAAACAGAACAAGCUGUCACCCAGGCUGAAAAAAACAUGUCAGACAGUCUGUGAAUAGAUGUUACUUCCUGCGCACAUGCAUGAGAUGCUGGCAGCCAUGUGUCAUGGCAGAGAAUUUUGGGGGCCUCAGUGGGACAGUCCCUGCAGACCCCCGGUUAGUUACUCUGGCUUUCCUUCUUCAUAUUGAGAAGGGUGCAUCUCUAAAUAGGAUAAACAGAUUUUUAAAAAAUUAAAACAACAUUGUAAAGCCUGGUUUCCCUGCUUCAGAUUGCAAUAUGCAUCAACAUGACAUAUAGUUCUCAAAAUGAUGUUGAAAUUAAGAAUUUUACAUGUUGUAUCUGUGGGGGGUCAAGAUGUGGAGGCCUUUUCCCACCAAACAGAAGCAUAUCACCUUUCCCUUUUUAUUUCUGUAUCUUCUCUUUUCCUAACAUUUUAAUGACAGCAUUAUUUUUAAGUUCAGGCAUCUACAUAGAGGGUCCAGGUCUAGGAAGGAGUGAGCUCUUGAGGCAGGGCUACUGCAGGUCUUGGGAGACACCCUGAUGUUGGUUGAAUGAUGGGAUACCUACCGGAUGCUGGGCAGUGGUACAGAGGGGGGAGGCCCACUGGAGAGGAGAGGGUGGUAGCACUCAAGGCCCACAGCAGUGAGCACCUGCUGUGGGGUGGCUGGGCUGGUGUGCCACGUAGAGCCGUGACCUCCUUUCAUCAUAGAAACUGUCCCUUUCUAGAUGAGGAGACCUUUGGGAUCUCAGCCCCAGGACCUACAGACAGUGGGUGGUGAAGUCGAGGUUCAAGCUGUGACCCUGCCUCCCGCCACCACGGCCAGAUCACAGCAUUCUUAGGAACCUCCUGGGCUUGGCCUGUGUCCCAUCAGCAGUGAGCUCACUCCCGUGACAUGUAUCUGGUUUUCGAGAUGAGCCUUUGGCAGCAAGUGGGGGUGGCCCCUCGUGACUAGCAGAUUGCAUUGGUGAGGCGGAAGCAGCAAGGCAGAGUUUCUGGUGUUCCUGGGUUGCUCUGGAUCUCUCCGCAGCCAGUGAGAGACUGGGAAGGCCAAACCCCAGGAAUGAGGAGGUGCUUCGGGGCAGACAACUGUGGACACUUCAGGAGUGACGGCAGUUAAACGGAGCCACAGAAUUCCUGGCAUGUGUAAUGCACUUCGCCUCAGCCCUGCUUCCUGACUGCGCACACAUGUUAUGUAACGAGCAUGUAGCAAGAACCAAGCCAAGACUGAGAUCCAGUUGAACUGAGAUGGUGCUGACUCCAUGUCUCCCCCGUCCCCUUUAACCCUGGUGUCAGCCUCCUUCCCUGUGGGAGGGUCUUUUCAGAUCUGCUGCUGUCUGCAAGGCAUUCCCUCCCUCGCAGUCAACUCUGCUUUGUAAACAUCUGAUGUUAAGUUUGUGUUUGGAGGAACUUUAUUAAAUAAAUUCUUGAAUUA